rnacentral:rRNA from 1 species
GAAAGGCGGGCUAAACCCGCGUACAUGCCACCGGGGCAUCCCGGAGGCAGGAAAGGCUUCGGCCGGACAGGGAUGGGCAUGCGGCGCAUUAGGCAGUAGGCGGGGUAACGGCCCACCUAACCGACGAUGCGUAGGGGUUCUGAGAGGAAGGUCCCCCACACUGGUACUGAGACACGGACCAGACUCCUACGGGAGGCAGCAGUGAGGAAUAUUGGUCAAUGGUCGGGAGACUGAACCAGCCAAGCCGCGUGAGGGAUGAAGGUACAGAGUAUCGUAAACCUCUUUUGUCAGGGAACAAAGGCGGGGACGUGUCCCCGGAUGAGUGUACCUGAAGAAAAAGCAUCGGCUAACUCCGUGCCAGCAGCCGCGGUAAUACGGAGGAUGCGAGCGUUAUCCGGAUUUAUUGGGUUUAAAGGGUGCGCAGGCGGUCUGCUAAGUCAGCGGUCAAAGCCCGGGGCUCAACCCCGGCCCGCCGUUGAAACUGGCAGUCUCGAGUUGGAGAGAAGUAUGCGGAAUGCGCGGUGUAGCGGUGAAAUGCAUAGAUAUCGCGCAGAACUCCGAUUGCGAAGGCAGCAUGCCGGCUCCACACUGACGCUGAGGCACGAAAGCGUGGGUAUCGAACAGGAUUAGAUACCCUGGUAGUCC